rnacentral:sRNA from 1 species
CAUUACAGAGUUGCAAACUCCCAACCCUUGUGAACAUACCCGUUACAGUUGCUUCGGCGGGCAGCCCCAGGGCGGGGCUGCAGCCUCUUCUCACGAGGCGCCCGCCGGAGGUAUAUAAUUCUUUGUAUUUUUGGUCUCUCUGAGUAAAUUUAUAAUAAGUCAAAACUUUUAACAACGGAUCUCUUGGUUCUGGCAUCGAUGAAGAACGCAGCGAAAUGCGAUAAGUAAUGUGAAUUGCAGAAUUCAGUGAAUCAUCGAAUCUUUGAACGCACAUUGCGCCCGCUAGUAUUCUGGCGGGCAUGCCUGUUCGAGCGUCAUUUCAACCCUCAAGCCCUGCUUGGUGUUGGGGUCCUACAGUAAUGUAGGCCCUGAAAACUAGUGGCGGGCUCGCUAUAACUCCGAGCGUAGUAGUAAUAUCUCGUUUAGGAAGUGUAGCGGGUUCUUGCCGUUAAACCCCCCAUUUUAUAAGGUUGACCUCGGAUCAGGUAGGAAUACCCGCUGAACUUAAGCAUAUCAAUAA